rnacentral:rRNA from 1 species
GACGAACGCUGGCGGCGCGCCUAAUACAUGCAAGUCGAACGCUGCUUAAGAAGAAACUUCGGUUUUUUCUUAAGCGGAGUGGCGGACGGGUGAGUAACACGUGGGGAACCUAUCCAUCAGCGGGGGAUAACACUUGGAAACAGGUGCUAAUACCGCAUACGGCUUUUUUUCACCUGAAAGAAAGCUCAAAGGCGCUUUACAGCGUCACUGAUGGCUGGCCCCGCGGUGCAUUAGCCAGUUGGUGAGGUAACGGCCCACCAAAGCAACGAUGCAUAGCCGACCUGAGAGGGUGAUCGGCCACACUGGGACUGAGACACGGCCCAGACUCCUACGGGAGGCAGCAGUAGGGAAUCUUCGGCAAUGGACGCAAGUCUGACCGAGCAACGCCGCGUGAGUGAAGAAGGUUUUCGGAUCGUAAAGCUCUGUUGUCAGCAAAGAACAGGAGAAAGAGGCAAUGCUUUUUCUAUGACGGUAGCUGACCAGAAAGCCACGGCUAACUACGUGCCAGCAGCCGCGGUAAUACGUAGGUGGCAAGCGUUGUCCGGAUUUAUUGGGCGUAAAGCGAGCGCAGGCGGUGAUUUAAGUCUGAUGUGAAAGCCCCCAGCUCAACUGGGGAGGGUCAUUGGAAACUGGAUCACUUGAGUGCAGAAGAGGAGAGUGGAAUUCCAUGUGUAGCGGUGAAAUGCGUAGAUAUAUGGAGGAACACCAGUGGCGAAGGCGGCUCUCUGGUCUGUAACUGACGCUGAGACUCGAAAGCGUGGGUAGCAAACAGGAUUAGAUACCCUGGUAGUCCACGCCGUAAACGAUGAGUGCUAAGUGUUGGAGGGUUUCCGCCCUUCAGUGCUGCAGUUAACGCAUUAAGCACUCCGCCUGGGGAGUACGACCGCAAGGUUGAAACUCAAAGGAAUUGACGGGGGCCCGCACAAG